rnacentral:lncRNA from 1 species
GGCCCCACCCCUCAGGUCAAGCCUGGAGGAAAGCCUCCCCCGGUGAGAAAGCAAAAAGGGAAGCCCUGGAGUCCGGUGAAAGCCAGCUGUCAGAUGGAGAGCCCUAGCACAAAAAAGGGUCACUUACCUCUUGGUGCAGGAGAGUAUGUUGCAGCGGUUUGGUGGUCCUGCCUAGUUGCCUUCCUGGAAAACUCCCUCAACCUGUCAGAGUGAGAGGCAAAUUGUGGCAAGCCACUCGAGAAAGAGAUCAGGUGAGUAUUCUGCAGGUGUGGGCUGCACUGUUACCACACCUGGGCUACGCCACCCUUAUUACAAGCCUAAACAUACAACUUUCACCCUUACUCUCAGAUGUCAUAUGGGGACAAACCCUGCAAGGGCUUAAGGACAGCUG